rnacentral:rRNA from 1 species
UUGAGAGCGGCGGACGGGUGAGUAAUGCCUAGGAAUCUGCCUGGUAGUGGGGGAUAACGCUCGGAAACGGACGCUAAUACCGCAUACGUCCUACGGGAGAAAGCAGGGGACCUUCGGGCCUUGCGCUAUCAGAUGAGCCUAGGUCGGAUUAGCUAGUUGGUGAGGUAAUGGCUCACCAAGGCGACGAUCCGUCAACUGGUCUGAGAGGAUGAUCAGUCACACUGGAACUGAGACACGGUCCAGACUCCUACGGGAGGCACCACUGGGGAAUAUUGGACAAUGGGCGAAAGCCUGAUCCAGCCAUGCCGCGUGUGUGAAGAAGGUCUUCGGAUUGUAAAGCACUUUAAGUUGGGAGGAAGAGCAGUAACCUAAUACGUUAUUGUUUUGACGUUACCGACAGAAUAAGCACCGGCUAACUCUGUGC